CCUACGGGAGACAGCAGUGGGGAAUAUUGGGCAAUGGGCGCAAGCCUGACCCAGCAACGCCGCGUGAAGGAAGAAGGCUUUCGGGUUGUAAACUUCUUUUGUCAGGGACGAAGCAAGUGACGGUACCUGACGAAUAAGCCACGGCUAACUACGUGCCAGCAGCCGCGGUAAUACGUAGGUGGCAAGCGUUAUCCGGAUUUACUGGGUGUAAAGGGCGUGUAGGCGGGGAAGCAAGUCAGAUGUGAAAACCACGGGCUCAACCUGUGGCCUGCAUUUGAAACUGUUUUUCUUGAGUGCUGGGGAGGCAAUCGGAAUUCCGUGUGUAGCGGUGAAAUGCGUAGAUAUACGGAGGAACACCAGUGGCGAAGGCGGAUUGCUGGACAGUAACUGACGCUGAGGCGCGAAAGCGUGGGGAGCAAACAGGAUUAGAUACCCCGGUAGUC
rnacentral:rRNA from 1 species